rnacentral:rRNA from 1 species
GUGGGUAGUUUGACUGGGGCGGUCUCCUCCCAAAGAGUAACGGAGGAGCACGAAGGUUGGCUAAUCCUGGUCGGACAUCAGGAGGUUAGUGCAAUGGCAUAAGCCAGCUUGACUGCGAGCGUGACGGCGCGAGCAGGUGCGAAAGCAGGUCAUAGUGAUCCGGUGGUUCUGAAUGGAAGGGCCAUCGCUCAACGGAUAAAAGGUACUCCGGGGAUAACAGGCUGAUACCGCCCAAGAGUUCAUAUCGACGGCGGUGUUUGGCACCUCGAUGUCGGCUCAUCACAUCCUGGGGCUGAAGUAGGUCCCAAGGGUAUGGCUGUUCGCCAUUUAAAGUGGUACGCGAGCUGGGUUUAGAACGUCGUGAGACAGUUCGGUCCCUAUCUGCCGUGGGCGCUGGAGAAUUGAGGGGGGCUGCUCCUAGUACGAGAGGACCGGAGUGGACGCAUCACUGGUGUUCGGGUUGUCAUGCCAAUGGCACUGCCCGGUAGCUAAAUGCGGAAGAGAUAAGUGCUGAAAGCAUCUAAGCACGAAACUUGCCCCGAGAUGAGUUCUCCCUGAGACCUUGAGUCUCCUGAAGGAACGUUAAAGACUAUGACGUUGAUAGGUCGGGUGUGUAAGCGCAGCGAUGCGUUGAGCUAACCGAUACUAAUGAACCGUGAGGCUUAACCUU